GCCUAAAGCGUCCGUAGCCUGAUCUAUAAGUUUCCGGUUAAAUCCACAUGCUCAACAUUUGGGCUGCCGGAAAAACUGUAGAUCUAGGGAGUGGGAGAGGUAGACGGUACUCGGUAGGAAGGGGUAAAAUCCUUUGAUCUAUUGAUGACCACCAGUGGCGAAGGCGGUCUACCAGAACACGUUCGACGGUGAGGGAUGAAAGCUGGGGGAGCAAACCGGAUUAGAUACCCGGGUAGUCCCAGCUGUAAACGAUGCAGACUCGGUGAUGCAUUGGCUUGUGGCCAGUGCAGUGCCGCAGGGAAGCCGUUAAGUUUGCCGCCUGGGAAGUACGUACGCAAGUAUGAAACUUAAAGGAAUUGGCGGGGGAGCACCACAAGGGGUGAAGCCUGCGGUUCAAUUGGAGUCAACGCCAGAAAUCUUACCCGGAGAGACAGCAGAAUGAAGGUCAAGCUGAAGACUUUACCAGACAAGCUGAGAGGUGGUGCAUGGCCGUCGCCAGCUCGUGCCGUGAGAUGUCCUGUUAAGUCAGGUAACGAGCGAGACCCUUGCCUCUAGUUGCUACCAUUGCUCUCUGGAGCAGUGGGGCGAAUUAGCGGGACCGCCGCAGUUAAUGCGGAGGAAGGAAAGGGCUACGGCAGGUCAGUAUGCCCCGAA
rnacentral:rRNA from 1 species